UGAGGGCUUGUCUACAUCAGAAAGUUGCAGCGCUGGUGAGGGAGUUACAGCGCUGCAACUUUGAAGGUGUACACAUCUGCAGGGCAUCACCAGCGCUGCAACUCCCUGUUUGCAGCGCUGGCCGUACUCCCGUUUUGUCUCGGGUGUAGAGGAUCCAGCGCUGGUGAUCCAGCGCUGGUAAUCAAGUGUAGACACUUACCAGCGCUUUUCUUGACCUCCGUGGAAUAAGCAGGUAUCCCAGCAUACCUGAGGAAGCCUCUGGUAAUCAAGCAGGUCUCCUUCCCCGGUUUGCAGGGGGGUUCGGGGAACGCGAGAGCAAACCGCGGCGAAGCUGGUCUCCUUCCCCGGUUUGCUCUCGCGUUCCCCGAACCCCCCUUGAAGCCGCCCAACAGCGCUGCAGUGUGGCCACAUCUAACACCACUUGCAGCGCUGGUUGCUGUAAGUGUGGCCACUCUGCAGCGCUGGCCCUAUACAGCUGUACUAAUACAGCUGUAACAACCAGCGCUGCAAAAUUGUAGAUGUAGACAUACCCUCAGUUAU